AGAACGAACGCUGGCGGCAUGCCUAACACAUGCAAGUCGAACGAGACCUUCGGGUCUAGUGGCGCACGGGUGCGUAACGCGUGGGAAUCUGCCCUUGGGUUCGGGAUAACAGUUGGAAACGACUGCUAAUACCGGAUGAUGACUUCGGUCCAAAGAUUUAUUGCCCAGGGAUGAGCCCGCGUAGGAUUAGCUAGUUGGUGAGGUAAGGCUCACCAAGGCGACGAUCCUUAGCUGGUCUGAGAGGAUGAUCAGCCACACGUGGGACUGAGACACCGGCCCAGACCUCCGUACGGGAGCAGCGAGGUAGGGAAUAGUUGGAACAAGUGGGACGAAAGCCUGACUCCAAGACAAGUCGCCGGUCGUGGAGUAGAAGU
rnacentral:rRNA from 1 species